rnacentral:rRNA from 1 species
UACGUAGGGUGCAAGCGUUAUCCGGAAUUAUUGGGCGUAAAGAGCUCGUAGGCGGUUUGUCGCGUCUGCUGUGAAAACUGGGGGCUCAACCCCCAGCCUGCAGUGGGUACGGGCAGACUAGAGUGCGGUAGGGGAGACUGGAAUUCCUGGUGUAGCGGUGGAAUGCGCAGAUAUCAGGAGGAACACCGAUGGCGAAGGCAGAUCUCUGGGCCGUAACUGACGCUGAGGAGCGAAAGCAUGGGGAGCGAACAGG